GCGCAAUCGAGUCUUGACAAGAUCCGUUACAGAAAAUACCCUCUCAACAGUAGUAGUAGCAACGGAAAGAAUCAAUGCCAAUGUCACAAGCCUACAUAGCAGUGGAUACACUUCAUUUUUCUUUGUCACAACUACUUUUUACAAGAUCACUAAGACCUUGCAAUCCUCUAAAGUUUUCAUCUGUGCGCAUAUCAAAUAUAUCAGUUUCAAGUUGAUCAUCAAGUGCAGAAGGAUUAGUGAAAUAUCUUCAGAAUAAUACUCAACUAGUCGAAUUAAUUUGUUCUUGUCGAAAACAGAAAAAGAAUCAUCUGGACACAAACAUGCUAUGCAAAGGCACAAUUCACUAUCUACCUCGAAAAAACGAUCAUUCAACUCUUGAAUUUGCAUAUCAAUGACAGUGCAAAAGUAAUUCACUCUUAAGUGAUGUAAAUUCAUCAUUUUUGGAGUGUUACGCCGUGAACGACCUGGAGGUAUAUACAUAGCAUCCAUGUUAAGAAUAUCAACAUGCUACUUUUGAUAGAAAGAACAAACCAUUUCAAGAAAGGAGCCCCAUCCAUUGUCUCUUGUUGCUUGAAGUUGUUCUUUGCAAAAUUUUACUAAGCUUAUGGCAUUGACAAUAUCUUGAUCUUUCAUUUGUAAUGCCUUUGACAAUUCAUUUGAAAUUCCUAAUAUCCUUUUCAUGAGAUGUAGACUAAAUACAACAUCAAAUCUUACUAUCAAGGUCAAUAAAUUACGUGCUACAACUCUUUUUCCAGAACUUAGGACAUCCUCAGCAAUUGUUUCAAGUACAUCAAUUGUAGGUGAAAACAUUUGAAUAAAGUUAAUCAAAGAAUUACAGUGAGAACUCCAACGUGUAUCACCUUUUAGGGUAGUUUGUUGAUUAAGGCCUCGUCAACUUGAUAAUUCACCGUAAUUGAAUGCCUCAACAAUUCGAAGUCUUUGCUUCUCUUGAAGAAGAUCACAUCAUUGAGCUGAUCCUACAACAACAUUCACCACUCUAUCAACCAAAUCAAAAAAAGCUUCAAUCUCUACAUGCUUGUUUGUUAUAGCAACAAAGGCUAGAUGAAGUUGAUGAGUGAAGCAAUGAAUGUAGAAAGCACUUGGGUUUUCUUUUUAAUAAGUGCUUUGAGACCAUUAAAUUCACCUUGCAUAUUACUAGCUCCAUCAUAACCUUAACCUCUUAAGCGAGAUAUACUUAAUUUAUAUCUAGAGAAUAAGCAAUCAAUAGCUACUUUAAGGGAGAGAGCUAUGGUAUUCAAAACAUGCUCUAUGCCUACAAAACAUUCAACUACACAUCCAUUCUUGUUCACAUAAUGAAAAACAAUAGACAUUUGUUCCUUAACUGAGAUGUCACGCGAUUCAUCAACUAGAAUAGAAAAUAAACAAUCACCAAUAUCAUUGAUAAUAACACUGAUUGUUUCAAAAGUAGCAGCACUUACAAUAUCUUUUUGGAUGUCAGUUGAUGUUAAUUUGAGACUAUCAGGAGCAUUCUUGAAAGUAAUAGCUUUAAUCUCCUCAUUAUGAUCAGCCAAAAAUGUAAUAAUUCAAGAAAAUUUCCUUGAUUAUUUGUAUCUUCAUAUUCAUCAGGUCCACAAAAUGCAAGUCCUUGUCUUAGAAGAAAUUGAACACAAUCAAUUGAUGCACUCAAAUGAAUUCGCUAUUCAUGUCAUGAUUGUUGUGAUUAUUUCAAGAAAAUAGCCUGAAUUUUUUUCUUGAUUUAUAAAAGCUUCGCACUUAAUUCGAGCUUUAAUGUGUGCACUAUUGUGAUUUCCAACAUGCUAUUGGAGUUUUUCUUUACUUUUCCAAUUUGAGAACCCUCGCUCAAUAAAAAGUGUUACCACCUUCUUGUUCCACACCUGAUUUAAAAAGAUAACAGUAAAAGCAAAAUGUAGCAUAUUUCUCUCUACUAUACUCCAACCAAGAAGGAAACUCGUAAAAUCGAGAAGAUUGAAAAUGCUUCAAUGAAGAUUUUCCAUAUUUUUUCUGUGGAAAUUUGAGCUUGAAAAGCUGACAAUGACCCAUUUGUAUACAUUCUAUUCGAACUUUGUCUCGAACAUUAACAUGAUAUUCCAUAAUCGGAAUUCGUAGUCCAAGAUCUAUAGAAAGUUGUACAACAUUAAUUUUACCCUGAACAUUUAUUUCAUCCCGGACAACAUCAUUUUCAUCUCGAACAACUUCACUUUCUUCCUGAAUAACAUCAUUUUGAUGGUCAACAUCACUUCACCCCGAUUAUUACGUUCGUUCCCAAUAUCACUUUUAACUUGAAUAUCCCUUUCAUCUUGAGCAAUCACACGGGCAUUGCUAGAUUUUUUUUCUAUCAAUAUUUUGACCUCCAAUAAAAAAUGAAGCUUUCCUUUUAAAGUAUCUCUCCAUAAUCGUUGACAUUGAAUUGAAUACCAUGUAAAUAAAAAUUUGCAAUAAAGAUUAUAAAUUUAACAAAGUUUUAUUAAAUCAACUAAUAACAUUAUUGAAAAUAUAAUAAACACAAUAAUCAUAAUCUUCUUAUCAUUUUGUCGUAUUUCUUUUUCAAAUUUAGGGCCACACACAUAUACACUCUGUGUUACAAAAUAAUCAAAGCCAAACACACAAACCCCUAUUCCAGCUAAUGAGGAAAUAACCUUUUUACCUCUCACAAGGUCCAAUUCUCCCCUAUCCAUUCCCUCCAAUCAUGCCUUGAAACCCAUCUACACUGAUUCAUUUCUUCAACCUCUAGAAACUUGGUUUUUAUUUAUUAUUUGUCCAGAACCUUUAUAUCGAAAGAGUAAAUUGAGAAAUCCUUAUUCAAUGCCUAUUGCCUAGAACAUUAUGCAUCACAAUUUCAAAGGCCAAAGAAAGUCUUCUUUCUUCUUUUUUUUCUUCAACCAUUAAAUCAUAAGCAUAAAAACCAGUGAAAAUUUUGCAUAGGUCACAUAAAAAUCAAUUCAGGAGCCUAAUGCACUAACUCGUUGAAAUCACCUUUCCAAUAGAAGAGGAGAAUUAGAAGAUGCCAGAGAAAGAGCACAAACUCGCCUGUGAACGAUGGUCGGCCGUCAAUUAGAAUUGGAUUUGCAAGAUACUUGAGAAGAAGAGAAGAGAGGUGGGUAGGGUUUUAAGCUUUUCCAAAUUGAAAUGGGAUUAUGGGAGAAAAACAUGGCGUGACUGGUCG
rnacentral:lncRNA from 1 species